rnacentral:lncRNA from 1 species
CCCUGCCCCUCCACUACUCAGAUCUCUCAGGAUCACAGAUCUUCUCUUCCUCAGACAUGGAUCCAGAUUUCUCUCGCUAUCUGCAUGACUUCAUCACUGAUGUUUGCAAUUCAACCACCCAGCAUGUGAAAAGGCACUCAGAUGGACAUAUUCUCACUGGGGAGGAAUUAGCUGAGAACAUCAAGACACUCUUCAACCUAUUACAGACAAAAGAAUUUGGAUAUUCAUCCUCGUAUGUGUCGGUGGUUACUCUACUCCAAGAUGAGAGGUUGAUUGAAGAUUAUCAACAAGAGUUGGAGGACUUUGUGAAGGAACAGGUGAGCCCUCAGGCUUUUUAUUGUCUCUCUCAUGGAUGAGCUACCCAGAAGGACUACCCUAGGUUCAAGACACUCUGUGGGUUCACAUCCACUCACAACCACUCAUAAAUUCCCACUGAUACUUCUGCUUUUUCCCUAGUUAUCCAGGGUUUACAAUUAAUUCAAAGCAAAGGUGUUUAAUGGAAUAGCAGAGUAGGCAGAUUUGUAAUAGAACAUUUCCUCCAUGAAUGUAGAGUAUUUUAUCCUAUAUACACACACACCACCAUAUGCUCACCUGAGUGAGCAUGUACAUUAUUAUUACCAUACAUGAACUCACCAGGGACAUCAGGGUCCUAGAGCAUCAGAGGUAGUUAGUAGCCCCUCUAUAUUUAUUCAAAGUGAUCCCUGAUAUCCCCUGGUGAUUUCCCCUGGGUUCACUGAGUCAGAGUUCCUCCCUCUGGGCACUCCUUCACUAGGUUUCCAAUCUCCCCUGGCAACCUCAUCUCUUCAGAGCCAGCUCAGCCAUUUCAAGUUAAGUCUACUAGGGUAGUGGUUAAAUCUUCUGCCUCAUAAUGCCUGGCUAUUAGCUCUUUAAUCCUGGUUGUUGACUAGCCACUAUAACCAAGUGACAGAAGCCAAGAGGACUUUUAAAGCUAAAGUUUUAAAAACUAGAUCUUUAUUUUUGAACCCUAUGGAAGGGGAAUCAAAGCUUUCUGUUAAUUAUAAUUAGUAAUUAUAAUUAAUAUCUAGAUUAAUUAUUAGAUAAUUAUCUAGCUUCAGGUUCAGACAAUUUAACACAUUUUCCAAUAUGCUCCCUGGCCUAGCUUCAAAUGAAUUUGAGUCAGAAGCAAAGGCAGGCUAUGGAAACAAAGUCAGAGGUUUCCACCCACCCAGCCUGAAUUCUUGUCUGUAGUUGUAAUGACCAAACUCAGCUUCCACCUUUCACUGAAGACAUUGGGAAGUAUGGGUGUACAAUGUUGCAUAUACUGUCUGAUGAAAUUAAUGUGUGGGGUGCCAGGGGAGGGACAUAUUUGUAAAAAAAUAAAAGGUGAUAUAGAUAGGUAUAGAUAUACA